GGUAUUUUUGUUGUUUUUUUGUUGACUUGAUAUAGGUCUCUUUGCUAUUAUAUUUUAAGUGAUAAUGGUGUAUUUCUAAUAUUGUUCAAUAUAACAUGCAGCUCUGAUCUUGUAAAUAAUCAUUUAUUCAUUGAUAGUGUUUAAAAUGCUUCUUUCAUCUUUAUGUUUUGGACAUAUUCUUUAACAUUGUGUUUUAUCUUUAUU
rnacentral:lncRNA from 1 species